GCUUUGCAGCAGUACAGACUAGCAUUCCUUACAGAGUGGCACCUCAGGCAUUGCUCAGUGAGUCCACCUCUUUUUUGGGCUCAAGAUGCUCCCAACAAUACACGAGUUGUUUCUUGGACCAGUCAUACCAGAGGCAGCACUAUUAACUGGGCAAAAGAAACACAAACAAGAACCUAAAGGCAAUGGAGAACAAGAAAAAAGUAGCCAAACACUGGAGAAGAGCCAAUGCUUAGAAGAAAGGAACAGCACUGGGGUUCUCAGUUUCCAGCUUUUCGUCAGAGGGCAGGCCCCAUUCCAUGUCCUGGGCCGCGGCUAAAAUUCAGAUAGAUCCUAUACUGUGUAACUGCGUUGGAGAACCAAAGGACACAGCAGCUGCAAAAGGAGGGUGUUAUCUCAGAAAGGAGUGAGCAGUAGAGGAGAGCUCCAGGCCCUGUGCAUGAACUCUGCCCAAACCUCUGGCCGACUUCUGUAGGGAAGGCUCUGAGCAGCCCAUUACAGGCUGAAAAAACUGGGCAGCGAGUUCUGCUGCUGCCCACCACAGUAAAGAAGACAGAGUUUGCAGUCUGAAUCAAGCCAAAAUAACUACUUGCUUAAAAAUAAAACUUUUCAGAGGCAUAAUGGAAUCCAGAUUCUCUACAAGUGUCACGUACAAUGUCAAGUACAAUCCAGUAUUACCAGGCCAUCUUGAUUUGAUUGACACUGUACCCAGUAACUGCAGAAUACACGUUCUUUUCAAACGCUCAUUCACCAAGAUCGAUCAUAAGCUGGGCCAUCA
rnacentral:lncRNA from 1 species